rnacentral:rRNA from 1 species
AGUGAACGCUGGCGGUAGGCCUAACACAUGCAAGUCGAACGGAAGCACCGUAAGAGCUUGCUCUUACGGGUGGCGCGUGGCGGACGGGUGAGGAAUACAUCGGAAUCUACUUUUUCGUGGGGGCUAACGUCGGGAAACUUACGCUAAUACCGCAUAAGACCUACGUGUGAAAGCAGGGGAUCUUCGGGCCUUGCGCGAUUGAAUGAGCCGAUGUCGGGUUAGCUAGUGGGCGGGGUAAAGGCCUACCAAGGCGAUGAUCCGUAGGUCGUCUGAGAGGAUGAUCAGCUAGACGGGAAGUGAGACACGGCACAGACUUCUGGGGUAGGCCGCAGUGGGGAAUAUUGGGGGAGGGGGGAAAGGCUGAUCCAGCCAUACCGGGUAGGGGCAGAAGGAGUUAUGGUUGGAGAAUGAUGUUGUUGGUAGAGAAGAGCAGCACUUUAAUACGGCGCGGUAAUGACGGUACCCAGAGAAGAAGCACCGGCUAACUUCGUG